AACAACUCACCUGCCGAAUCAACUAGCC
rnacentral:ncRNA from 4 species